UGGAGCGAUGAUUGAUUGGGACCGCUGUGAGAGCUCCCCAAACAAACAUAGUCUCCUGUAUUGAAUGAAUAUUGGUAAUCAAAGGACAGAUCCAGUCAAAAGUGAAACUAAAUAUAUAUAUCUCCUCUAAACACAAAUGUUUGGUGAGGGGAAAAAACAAACAAACAAAAAAAACUGUAUUUCACCCUGCCUGUGAUCGGUAUGGGGACCCUCCAUUCCUGUAAAACUGAAAAUACAGGGGCCUAUAUGUGAAAGUACAAAAAAUAGAGCUGGAUUCCCACAAGAGCUGGUGUCCAGACAUGUGGAAAAAGGGGCGUCAUUCACA